rnacentral:lncRNA from 12 species
GGCGGCGGCGGCUGGGGCGGGCGGCGCGCCGAGUCUCCGCGGCGACUGCGGCCACUGCGUGCGGCCGCCAACCUGCCCGGCGACCUCCCGGUCCUCCUGCCCGCCGCGGGGAGGCCGUCGCGGAGCCGGCCCUGAGACCUUCGCUCCGCGCCCCGCCGGGAGGUGAUCCCCAACCGAGCACUGCGGGGUGCGUGCCGUCGGGGACCGCUGCGCUGCUGGCCCAGCGCAAGGGAACCUUGCACGGGACUUGGGGACGUUCCGCACAGCUCCCAGCAAUGUUUGGAUUUGGGGGACCGAGGGGCGCUGCUGUCACAAAUCCCUCGCACGGAGAGGCGACUGUCCGGAACCCCCGGAACCCCCCCCCCCCAAGACCUGGUCCCACGGCAGAGGGCGGUGACGCGGUCUCUCCCGGGAGCUGCAGCAGGAGUCGCGAGGCAGGGACACCUCAGUCUGCAGGAGGAGGAGCCGUGGAGGGAGAAGGUGGCUGCGAGGGGCCUCACUCCGUCCGCUUCACCUCAGAGCCGGGAGGUCCCCGAGGCCUGGGAGCGCAACCGCUGAGCAAGAGGCCAGGAAGAGGAGUUGGAGACAGAGUGGGCAGGAGACUAAGUUCCCAGCUUAACAGAUGCUCCAAUCAUGAGGUCAGUGGCUUCCAAGGCAGUGAGAAGUCAAAAGUGCCAACCGUCUGCUCAGGAUGGUCUGAGUCUCCCAAAUUGCAGUGUAGAAGAGUGAGGGGCUCCCCUUAGGGGCCUCUGAGGUCUCCCAUAGUGCCUUGCCUGGGGUUAGUAAAGCCUUUCCUUGUGUUUCUUCUGAGGUAGUGUGCACAUGUAUGUUUGUGUUGGGGUGGUGGUUCUAAACCACGGCAGAGGUAGGGUAAUGCACUUCCUGGGGAGUCUAUGGUGUUGUGGUUGGGAGUGGAAGGGGGUUUCACCCCUCCUGGACUGGGGUAGUGAGGAGGCCUCGCUGGACUUGAAACCAAGUGCUCUAGACUCUAGGGAAAGGGAGGCGCUGCAGCUCCAAAGAGGAUUUGCAGGGAAGAUCAGAUCAGAAAAAGCCCCAGACUCUCUUCCUUCAAGGGUGAGAGAAAUACACUGAGAAAUGUGAACUUUCACUCAGGGAACACCUCCAUUCCAUGAUGGGUCAUCAUGCUUGUACUGUGCUGUAUGUUUCCACAUUUAGCAUACGUGGAAUAUGUGAAAUAUACCAUGCACUGGUCUAAUUUGGAAGAGGGGGUGUAUACAGGUGAAAAUGUGAAUUUCCCACCUGGAACCUUAUUAUUGAGCACAACUGGGAGCACAUAAUUUUCUGUCUCUUUUGCAUGUUUUUUUUUUUUUUUUAACCAAUCCUCAAUCUUUACCGGGUGCUUAAAUACUGGGAAAGGCACAGCUGCCCUGAUACAGGAAUUCCCACUGAUUCUUGAGGUUUACUAAUUCCUGAGAGACCCCACAAUACUGCAUACCCCUUUAUGUCUACUUCUCUCUGCACGCCUUUUCAACAGCACAUAGGUGCCCCUGAACCAGUCCAUACAGAUUGAGGUCCUUUCCCUCCUUUUGCUCCUUACCAUGAACAACCAAAUCCUCUACAAAAAUGCACAGGCAUCAUUUUCGGGAGUGUGAGUUUCAAGUAAGAUGGCGGCCCAGGCAUCCCUGCAGAUUUGGAUACAUGCUUUCCUAGGCAGGAGGCCACCCCAGCCCCAGCACAAUCCAGAGGGCAAGGAAACCUGGAUUCCCUUGCAGCAGGGAAAAG